rnacentral:rRNA from 1 species
AUUGAACGCUGGCGGCAGGCCUAACACAUGCAAGUCGAACGAGUGGCGGACGGGUGAGUAAUGUCUGGGAAACUUCCUGAUGGUGGGGUAUAACUACUGGAAACGGUAGCUAAUACCUCAUACCAUCGGAUGUGCCCCGAGGGGCUUAGCUAUUAGGUGGGGUAAAGGCUCACCUAGGCGACGAUCCAUAGCGGGUCUGAGAGGAUGACCAGCCACACUGGAACUGAGACACGGGCCAGACUCCGACGGGAGGCAGCAGUGGGGAAUAGGGAACAAUGGGCGCAAGCCUGAUGCAGCCAUGCCGCGUGUAUGAAGAAGGACUGCGGGUUGUAAAGUACUUUCAGCGGGGAGGCGUUACCCGCAGAAGAAGCACCGGCUAACUCCGUGCCAGCAGCCGCGGUAAUUC